GUGGGGAAUCUUCCGCAAUGGACGAAAGUCUGACGGAGCGACGCCGCGUGAGUGAAGAAGGCCUUCGGGUCGUAAAGCUCUGUCAUCGGGGACGAAUGGUCGAUGGAGUGGAAAGCCAUUGAAAUGACGGUACCCGAGAAGGAAGCCACGGCUAACUACGUGCCAGCAGCCGCGGUAAUACGUAGGUGGCAAGCGUUGUCCGGAAUUAUUGGGCGUAAAGCGCGCGCAGGUGGGAUCUUAAGUCUAUUUUGAAAGUUCGGAGCUUAACUCCGUGAUGGGAUAGAAACUGGGAUUCUUGAGUACCGGAGAGGAAAGCGGAAUUCCCCGUGUAGCGGUGAAAUGCGUAGAUAUGGGGAGGAACACCAGUGGCGAAGGCGGCUUUCUGGACGGUGUCUGACACUGAGGCGCGAAAGCCAGGGGAGCGAACGGGAUUAGAUACCCUUGUAGUCC
rnacentral:rRNA from 1 species